GGCCUCUGGCGGGCCUCCAGCCAGUUAGACCAUUUGACUAGGACGUGUGCAGCUCAGCCAGCCACAGAACUGGAAUUUUUCAGGAGCAGGGGGAGCAUGGAGUUUGGACUUUGCUGAGCAACUGAAGUGGAGCGCAGAGCUUGCUCGCUUAGGAGAGGGCAGCAUGGAUGGCAAACAAGGGGGCAUGGAUGGGAGCAAGCCCACGGGGCCAAGAGACUCUCCUGACACCAGGCUUCUUUCAAACCCAUUGAUGGGUGAUUCUGUGUCUGAUUGGUCUCCUAUGCCUGAAGCUGCAAUCUACGGACAUCAGCUGUCUCUGAGGAACCUCAUCAGCCACGGGUGGCUUGUGAACAUCAUCAUGGCAGAUCAUGUUUCCCCACUCCAUGAAGCCUGUCUCAGAGGUCAUCCCUCUCGUGUAAAGAUUUUAUUAAAGCAUGGAGCUCAGGUGAAUGGCGUGACAACAGACUGGCACACUCCACUGUUUAAUGUUUGUAUCAGCAGCAGCUGGGAUUAUGCUUCUGCAGCAUGGAGCCAGCGUUCAACCUGAGAGUGAUCUGGCAUCCCCCGUCCAUGAAGCUGCUAGGAGAGGCCACGUGGAGUGUGUCGACUCUCUUACAGCUUAUAGGGGCAAAAAUGACCAUAACAUCAGCCACGUGGGCACUUCACUGUAUUUGGCUUGUGAAAACCAGCAGAUAGCCUGUGUCAAGAAGCUUCUGGAGUCAGGAGCAGACCUGAACCCAGGGAGAGGUUCCCCACUUCAUGCAGUGGCCUUCAUGAAGGCCCUCAUGAAGGAUUCCCCACUUCAUGCAGUGGCCAGGACAGCCAGUGAAGAGCUGGCCUGCCUGCUCAUGGAUUUUGGAGCAGACACCCAGGCCAAGAAUGCUGAAGGCAAAUGUCAUGUGGAGCUGGUGCCUCCAGAGAGCCCUUUGAUCCAGCUCUUCUUGGAGAGAGAAGGGCCCCCUUCUUUUGAUGCAGUUAUGCCUAGAAAUCAGAAGGGCUUUGGAAUCCAGCAGCAUCAUAAGAUAACCAAAGUCGUCCUCCCAGAGGAUCUGAAAUGGUUUCUCCUACAUCUUUGUAUGUAUCAAUGGAAUGGAUUCACAAACAAUGUGAAAACAUUAUUGAGUGUUGUAGCCACUAGAAUUUUAAAAUCAAGUUAGGUUUAUAGAGUUUGACUAGUUUUUUCGAUUAGAUUUGUAUUAGUUAUAAAUUUGUUCAUAGAGUUUGACUAAUUUUUUCGAUUAGAUUUGUAUUUGUUAAACUCUGAAGCCAGAGUUUAAACACACUGCAUACGUUUGUAUGAUUAGUUAGAAGGCAUGAAGACUUUUUUCCCUGCUUGGAGACUGUCUAAAAUAACAGCUAUUGUUUUGCAUAUCCACUGCAGGCCAAGCACUUUCAGCAUCAUCUAAUUCAGCCCUCACAGCAACUGGGUCAAUCUGUCCAAUUUCCCAGGGCAAGGAUAGAGGAGUCAGAUUCAAAUACAGGUUUUCUGACGUUAACUUAUGUGAUGAUUUGAUCAAAGCAGGAUUUUCCAGCAUCACUAUCCUUGUUCCAUCUCUGCUAUAUGGGAAUGAAAAUAAAGAAAUGUAUUUCAAAAAAAUAAAAAGAAAAGAAAAACAGAGACGGUC